rnacentral:rRNA from 1 species
GUCGAACGAGAUCUUCGGAUCUAGUGGCGGACGGGUGAGUAACGCGUGGGAACAUGCCCUUCACUACGGAAUAGUCCCGGGAAACUGGGUUUAAUACCGUAUACGCCCUUCGGGGGAAAGAAUUUCGGUGAAGGAUUGGCCCGCGUUAGAUUAGGUAGUUGGUGGGGUAAUGGCCUACCAAGCCUACGAUCUAUAGCUGGUUUUAGAGGAUGAUCAGCCACACUGGGACUGAGACACGGCCCAGACUCCUACGGGAGGCAGCAGUGGGGAAUCUUAGACAAUGGGCGAAAGCCUGAUCUAGCCAUGCCGCGUGAGUGACGAAGGCCCUAGGGUCGUAAAGCUCUUUCGCCAGGGAUGAUAAUGACAGUACCUGGUAAAGAAACCCCGGCUAACUCCGUGCCAGCAGCCGCGGUAAUACGGAGGGGGUUAGCGUUGUUCGGAAUUACUGGGCGUAAAGCGCGCGUAGGCGGAUUGGAAAGUUGGGGGUGAAAUCCCAGGGCUCAACCCUGGAACUGCCUCCAAAACUACUAGUCUAGAGUUCGAGAGAGGUGAGUGGAACUCCGAGUGUAGAGGUGAAAUUCGUAGAUAUUCGGAAGAACACCAGUGGCGAAGGCGGCUCACUGGCUCGAUACUGACGCUGAGGUGCGAAAGUGUGGGGAGCAAACAGGAUUAGAUACCCUGGUAGUCCACACCGUAAACGAUGAAUGCCAGUCGUCGGAUAGCAUGCUAUUCGGUGACACACCUAACGGAUUAAGCAUUCCGCCUGGGGAGUACGGCCGCAAGGUUAAAACUCAAAGAAA